GAUAAACGCUGGCGGCGUGCAUGAGACAUGCAAGUCGAACGAAGGAUCGGGCUUGCUCGAUCCUUAGUGGCGGACGGCUGAGUAACGCGUAGGUGACCUACCCCGAAGUGGGGAAUAACUGCCCGAAAGGGUGGCUAAUACCGCAUGUGGUCGCACGUUCAUUCGUGCGAGUAAAGCCGCAAGGCGCUUCGGGAGGGGCCUGCGUCCGAUUAGCUCGUUGGCGGGGUAAUGGCUUACCAAGGCGACGAUCGGUAGGUGGUCUGAGAGGACGAUCACCCAGACUGGGACUGGGACACGGCCCAGACUCCUACGGGAGGCAGCAGUCGGGAAUUUUGCUCAAUGGGGGAAACCCUGAAGCAGCAACGCCGCGUGAGGGAUGAAGGCCUUCGGGUUGUAAACCUCUUUUGUCAGGGACGAUGAUGACGGUACCUAGCGAAUAAGCCACGGCUAACUACGUG
rnacentral:rRNA from 1 species